AUUCUUGGUGGACAGCUCUCAUAUCCCCUCCAGGGAAAAUGAUGAAAAAUGUCUUCAGAAAAAUAGCUUUAUGAAGGCAAGAGGAAUUUUUGCACCUGAAAGACAUGUCUGAAAGCUCCUCAGGUCAAAACACAAGUAGUCAAGAGAUUUGUCCAUCUAAUUCACCAUACUACUCUGAUCCAAGUGAGACCCACACUGGGUCAGCUCCAUCAAGGAGAAGAACAUUCCACCCACGUUUGGAUUCUGGAAUAUCAUCCCUGCUUCCAUCAGAUUCUUGUAAGUACCUCACUUUGCAGAAGGUAGAACAACAUGACAUUCAAGGAAGUCAGCUGUGUUGCCCAAGAGUAAGAGAAGGACCCUCUGAAGAAGAGCAACUUUUCAGACAGGUAGAGUGUGCCUUGCUCCCAAGGAAAAGAGUUCUUGACAAAAACAAAUGGGAAAUAUGGCUACAAGAAAACUGGGAAGACUGCAAGAAUUUGAACAUUUCAUUUCAGGAUUUGGGGGAUCCUUACCAAGUUGAAGAUUUUAACAGAAUUCUUAGAAGACUAAUUCGAGUUGAAACCCUCUGGUUAGUGGAUAAUUCACUGCUGGACUUAAGUGUCAUAAGAUUGCCAAGCUGCAGAAUUUUAAAUAUGAGCAAAAAUCAUCUCACAUCUUUCAAACAAUUACCAAAGAUACCUCAGAUACAGCAUUUAUCCUUGGCCGAAAACCACAUUGAGACUCUUACUGGAUUCUCCAGUUUACGGUGCACUCCACUGGAAUCCCUUAUUCUCAGGAGGAACCCUUGUGAGUUCCACCAAAAUUACAGGAAGCGAUCCUCCAAUAAGAAGACAGCACAAUUUAAAAGAGAAAGGACUUAAUGAUAGAGCUAAUAGUAGUAUUCUCCUGUUUGCCAAACUUAAAAAUGCUGGAUGGAAUCUUGAAGCUACCAGAAGAUUGCUCAUCACCAGAAACCAAUAUUUUUUCAAAAAUAUGCCUAGUAUCCUAAUGCAGUCUGUAUAGAAAGAAAGCAAUCAUCAUUGUUGCUAAAAGCUAAUAAACACAGGAAAUGCAUGAUUAAAUAUU
rnacentral:sRNA from 1 species